rfam:Treponema pedis str. T A4, complete genome.
AAAACGCUGUCGAGUUUGCUUUUCGGCAAACAUCGUGAUUGUAUGCCGUUUUUCACUCUGUUGCAAAACGGCGGAAAAUAAACAAUCCUCAAAAUCUUAAGAUUUUUCCGGUUGUUUAUUUUAUAU